UACGUAGGGUGCGAGCGUUAAUCGGAAUUACUGGGCGUAAAGCGUGCGCAGGCGGCUUUGCAAGACAGGUGUGAAAUCCCCGAGCUCAACUUGGGAACUGCACUUGUGACUGCAUAGCUAGAGUACGGUAGAGGGGAGUGGAAUUCCGCGUGUAGCAGUGAAAUGCGUAGAUAUGCGGAGGAACACCGAUGGCGAAGGCAGCUCCCUGGACCUGUACUGACGCUCAUGCACGAAAGCGUGGGGAGCAAACAGG
rnacentral:rRNA from 1 species